AAAAAAGCCACUGUCCACAUAUAUACACUACUUUAUUACGCUUUAAUUUGCUUGCUAUUUGCCUAUAUCUUCCUCUCGCAUCGCUCUCAUCUCUGCACUCCUCAACUUCAGAAGAAGAAUAUGAGGUCGAGAGCCUAAUUCAAGGGCAAUACACACACGCAUAUAUGCACCCGCAGCAGUUGAAGCUGCCAGCAUGAUCUGAGCUUAGCUUCUCUUGAUUUGAGGUGAGAAUAGAUCAUGCGGCAGUUUCACCUGCUGAAUGCAGGCAUACCCAGUACCGGUACAUUUCUCUUCCUCAGAUUCGCAGAUCCUCUCUACCUGUCUCAUCCUGUCUCCCGACCAUCAAACCAGCGGUAACUUUCAGUUUCAGAUUUACAUACACGUACGACUGGACAUCGGGUCCUCUCUCCCCCUCUCCAAGUUCAUCUUCUAGUUCACCCACGUUCAAUGAGAAUCCACGCAUUAACACAGAUAGGUUGGGUGCGGGUCCUCUUCUACAUGAAGAAAGUACAAUAUUUGAAGUUCACGUGUCUCACUAACUAAAAUGAGGAGGGAUCAGAUUAGGGCAAGUGAGCGAGGUUUGAGAUGGAACUGCACUCAUUUUAAGAGAAACCAGGUAGGUGACUAUUCAAGGCACAUCAUUUCUUAUUUUUCUCUUCUUUGAAUUCUGCGCAUGUUAUUUUAAUCAUUCAGCGCUGCAGGGGGCGUGUAUAAGCAAAUAUGUAUGAUAGUCAAAUAGGAGCGACACUAUUGAGUGUUUAUGUAAAGAAGAAAUAACUUUUGUCUGUCCCACUUGAUAGAAUGAAGGACUAUUAAUCCGAUCUGUUUGAUGAAGAGGAGUUGGGGACAUUAGCUUGAAAGCUACGGCGUACAUAUAUAGUUGGGAAAUUAACCAAAACAAGGAAUAUGGAGGAACAUAAAAGAAUGAGAACCAGUAACGUGUAUCCCGUCUAAAAUGAUUCUGAACUUUGAUCUCUCACAGAUUUUUUCAUCUUCAAAAGCUAGCUAGGCUUAACAACAUAAUGGAGCACUAGGAGAAACCCAUGCAGUUUAUGCUAGGCACGUAUAUAAAGGAGCAUAUAUGACUGUUAAAUUAAAGCACAAAAAGUUUCUCGUCAGGAUCUCAAUGUUGGGUUGGCAGCGAACCCUGGAUGAAGGAUAGUUUAUGGUGGUCCGGUUCUGGUCGGCAACAGUGCCACAACAUGGAAGAAGGGACCUAUGCGAUGGAGUGAUGCAGAUAGAGGAAAGUGAAGCCGGGAUCGGCACCACUGAUUGCCGUGAAAAUAAGUAGCUUGAAUGAGGAUUUGCCUUCUGGUAUUGGAGAUUGUAGUUAUCAGAUCAGGGGUAGAUUGGAACGGCUGCAAAGGCACCGUAUAUAUUGGGGUCUAAGAGCGCGGCACCACACACACACACACACACAUGGACACAGGACAAGCGCUGAUGGAGUCAAGAAUUGGGUGACAUUAUAUGUGGUCUUGGCGAGCGAUGCGUCGCCCUUUUUUCUUUUGCUUUAAUUUCCUGGAAGUCUUCUGAAAACAUGGUAGUGGCAGAGAGAUAAGGUUUAUAUUAUUGUAUACGAGUGGGGCUGCGGACAUGGGCACGAGAAUUUGGUUUAGAAGACAGCGUCACUCUCUCCUUUUUGUUUUGUUUGGAAGCCCAGUUUAGGUGACGACACACGCACGCACACAGCCUUUAUAUAUGUGUGUGAAGUAGCUGGCCGCGUUGAUAAUCUCCAGAAGCGUCAGUUUGUUUCCCGCUGCUAUCUUUGCAUGCAAUUUUUAUGUUUGCCUUCGUCUCUCCUGGGAAGAUAUACACUCGUUGUAUGCAUAUCUAGCUCUGAUUCUUAAUUUCUAGCUCUGCUACUUCAAAUACAGCUUCGAAGCCCCGAA